rnacentral:rRNA from 1 species
GAUCCUGGCUCAGGAUGAACGCUGGCGGCGUGCUUAACACAUGCAAGUCGAACGAAUUUCUUACCGACCGCGACUUCGGUCAAGGGAAGUUAGAAGUGAGUGGCGGACGGGUGAGUAACGCGUGGGUAACCUGCCUUACACUGGGGGAUAACGAUUGGAAACGAUCGCUAAUACCGCAUAAGACCACAGUGCCGCAUGGCACAGGGGUAAAAGAUUUAUUGAUGUAAGAUGGACCCGCGUCUGAUUAGGCAGUUGGCAGGGUAACGGCCUACCAAACCGACGAUCAGUAGCCGACCUGAGAGGGUGAUCGGCCACAUUGGGACUGAGACACGGCCCAAACUCCUACGGGAGGCAGCAGUGGGGAAUAUUGCACAAUGGGGGAAACCCUGAUGCAGCGACGCCGCGUGAGUGAAGAAGUAUUUCGGUAUGUAAAGCUCUAUCAGCAGGGAAGACAAUGACGGUACCUGACUAAGAAGCUCCGGCUAAAUACGUGCC